rnacentral:hammerhead_ribozyme from 1 species
AUCCAGAUGACGAGUCCUAAAUGGGACGAAACCCGCGUGUUGGAU